CGAAGGAGGACGUGGCCGCGGGGUGCUCGGCAGCAGGACGACCGAGACGUCCUGUCCCAAAGAGAAGAGCUCAGGCCUGCGCUGCGGGACAUCCAGGGGCAUCAGGGAGGCUUCCUGGAGGAGACGCCCUAACGGGAAGGAAGGCGCAGAUCUAAACGGAGAAAGGCGAGGCCUAGGCGGAAAGCGAGGCAGAUGGGAAGUUAGCUGGGUGUGAAGCCGGGGGAACAACCGCAGAGAUGGCGCUGCUCCCGCGGGCGCCUGCCGGGGCGGGAUCCCCUUAGGAUCACUCGCACCGGAAGUCGAUUCUGGAGGUGUGCGGGCCUGCAGCUCUCGGCGGAACUCACAGGCGCUCGCUCGCGCUCUCUCCCUCCCUCCCUCUCCCAGUCUCACGCAUAGGUGCCGUUGUGAGCACACAAGCUCCACAGGUUGGGAUUUACACUUCUGCAUCUAUCUCAGAAGAGAGGGGAAAGUCUAGGGCGUAGCCCCUAGCUGUCCAUUGAGUCAGGCUGAGCACUGCACCCUCGGGCCUCACACAUGCUCUUUGUUUGAGGAGGGGCCGCCCGCCCUCGCCCAGGGCCCAGCACUGGGCCUGGGAAAGCUCUGUUCCCAGGAGCCUGAGAAGUUGGCCUCUGUCUAAGGCCCUGGAGAGGAGAACCUGGGGGAACCAAGUGCCCUGGGCAGCCGGGAGUCAACCUGCCAGACUCCUCAAACAGCCGGGCCCUCCGGAAGGCUUUGGGCAGGGAGCUGGGGAGCGGGGCCCCAACUCUGGGUGCUGGGAAGACACAGUGGGGUCCCCGGGGCUGGCAGUGCCAGUGGCACCUGUGGCCUGGAUGCGGCCUAGCGAUGCCAACUGUGUCCAGUCCUCCAUAAAGGGCCGGCCUCGCCCACCUGUCCGUGGUGCCACUCAGCUCUCCGGGCAAGACUUUUUGGCCACGCUGGAAAAAUCAUCCUCGUUGUCGAUGUCCUGCUCACCUAGGAGUUGCUGCAACCCUGCCAGUCUGGAGGCGUGGCUUAGCAGCGGAGCCCUCACUGGGCAUGGCUGGGCCCUGAGCUCAAUCCCCAGCACACAAAAGAGAGGAGAAGACCCUCCACCACCCUAGAUGUGCUGGCCCCCAACGUGACAUCUGUGCCACACUUGGCAGUUCCUGCCCUUCUGUCCCCAUCCCUGAUCAUCUAAAUCUUACGACAGCCCCUGAGGCCCCAGGUACAUUUGCAAUCCUCCUGCCUCAGCCUCCUGAACAGCUGGGAUUACAAGCACGACCCCAGGUACAGGUUCUGAGCUGCAUUUUCCCUUGAUGUUCAGAGAGCUUGUGCAGCUGCCCUGAGGACUCCCAGGUAAUGCAGGAAUGGAGGAAACAAGCAGCCCAGACCCAGGUGGGCUGGCUGGGAAGACUCCGGGCUGUGUCCCUGCUCCUUGGACUUGGCAGUUGGGACAGAGACCCCUAGGCUGGAUCUCCGGGUGGAGGCUGGGAGCUGGACUUCCCAGUGGAACCCAGCGACCCCUCAGUGACAGUGACAGCCUAGUCAAGAUAACUGUAUCACCCUGUGCGGGGCCAGAUGGGAAGCGGGAGGCAGGUGGACAGCCCAGGACCCCUCAGGGACAGGCGGUGGUCAGGGCCUGAUGUGCCGAUGCCAGCACAGCCAUUUGCAUCUAAGAGCCCGGAUUCCCGGUGAUGGGGCUGGGGAUGAGGCUUUGGAGAGUCCUCUCUGCCCGAGGAGAGCAGCCUCCUGUUCCCAAGGGCUGGGUGUCUGUCAGUGACAGGACCGUCUUAGACCUGGCCAGGAUGCCAGCCUUCGGGGGCGGGGGCAUCUGGCAGAGCUCACCGCAACUUAAUAAAGCGGAUCAUCCACA